rnacentral:tRNA from 1 species
CAGGGUGUGGGAAAGCUUGGAAAUCCGCGUGCUUCGGGUGCACGAGACCGCUGGUUUAAAUCCGGCCAUCCUGAC